UUGGUUAAGGGCUUGUAAGUCAGCAUUUCACUGUAAAGUCUACGCCUGUUGUAUUCGGCACAUGUGACAAAUAAACUUUGAUUUGAUUUAUUACAUCCCUCUGUAUCAUCCUUCCUCUCUAAAGAUGUCUCCCAGGCUCGCCAACCCUCCAUGCCUGUUAGAAACGGACAACAGACCCCUCCACCGGCCCCUCUCCCUGAGACAAUCCAGCAGCCUCCGGGUCACUAUGCUGUUUCCAGGUCUAAGGUCCAGCCACCAGACACAGAGGAACCCAGCACUCACCCCCUCCAGAUGGGAAUAGCAUGUCUUACUGGUGGCAGAGACAGGACAGGUCGGUUGGUGGUUGAGGUGUACGGAGACCAUGAAGGAUGGAGAUCUCCUUCAGUGUCUAGUCUGGAACUCUGCAAACUGCUGCUCUACCUCCACUCUGUAAUCAGGUAUAUAUGCAUUGUGCAUUGUGGUUCAGGCUACAGAGGUUUUUAGCCUCAAUGGGUUUUACUUGGUAAAAAAAAGGUUAAAUAAAAUAAAAAAACAAAAAUAAUUAAUUGUUUUCAUCUUCAUAUUUUCUAGGAGAGAACUAAGAGAACUUGGACUGACACUAGUUAUUGAUGCUCGGCAGAAUCCACCCCCAUCACAGUUCAAUAAGGCCUUGCUGAUGCUUCAGGUAAGAAAGACUUGACAUCUUCCUGGUCAUAUUGGGAUCUGCACUACACAAAAUCACAUCAAGAGGAUAGCAACUUGCUAAAUAUUAUACUGAACUCAACUAAACUUUUCCCUCUGUUUAUUAUUUUCUUCACUCCCCUGACUUGUGCUCAGCUUUACCUGCAGGUCACAGGAGGUUGGUGGCACCUUAAUUGGGGAGGACAGGCUCAUGGUAAUGGCUGGAGCGGAAUGGGUGGAAUGGUAUCAAAUACAUCAAACACAUGGUUUGAUCCCAUUCCAUUCCCUCUGUUCCACCCAUUAUUAUGAGCCAUCCUCCCUUUAGCAGCCUCCACUGCUACAGGUAUAAGCUAAUGCAUUUACGGAUAACUAUUUAUUGCUGUGAGGUCUCAUAUUUUGAGAAUGUUACAGGAGCAAAUUCCCCAUGCAGUACACAGUGUCCUUAUCCUGGUGGAGAAAGAGAGCAGCCAUCGCCCAGAGAAAUGUCCUGGACAACAGGUCAGAUCUGAACCAAGUGUUUCCUCUAAUGAUUUCCAUCAGGCUUAUCAUUUCAUGAACAGUUACUGUAAUUUAUUCUGGGAGAAUUGCUGUCUGAUGUCACUGACUGUCACUGACAGAUUGAUGUAGUGACAUCACUGAAGGCGUUGCACAAGCUGGUGGAGGGGAGCCAAUUGACCUACGGCCUAGAGGGCACCCUGCCCUACAGCCACCAGGACUGGCUGCAGCUCCAUCAGGUAGGCCCCUAGAGGACACCCUGUCCUACAGCCACCAGGACUGACUGCAGCUCCAUCAGGUAGAACCCCUAGAGGGCAACCCUGUCCCACAGCCACCAGGACUGACUGAAGCUCCAUCAGGUAGGCCCCUAGAGGACACCCUGUCCUACAGCCACCAGGACUGACGGCAGCUCCAUCAGGUAGACCCUAGAGGACACCCUGUCCUACAGCCACCAGGACUGGCUGCAGCUCCAUCAGGUAGACCCCUAGAGGACACCCUGUCCUACAGCACACCUGGACUGACUGCAGCUCCAUCAGGUAGGCCUAGAGGACACCCUGUCCUACAGCCACCAGGACUGACUGCAGCUCCAUCAGUUAGACCCCUAGAGGGCACCCUGUCCUACAGCCACCUGGACUGACUGCAGCUCCAUCAGGUAGGCCCCUAGAGGACACCCUGUCUACUACAGCCACCUGGACG
rnacentral:lncRNA from 1 species